GACGAACGCUGGCGGCGUGCUUAACACAUGCGAGUCGAACGGAAAGGCCCUGCUUUUGUGGGGUGCUCGAGUGGCGAACGGGUGAGUAACACGUGAGUAACCUGCCCUUGACUUUGGGAUAACUUCAGGAAACUGGGGCUAAUACCGGAUAGGAGCUCCUGCUGCAUGGUGGGGGUUGGAAAGUUUCGGCGGUUGGGGAUGGACUCGCGGCUUAUCAGCUUGUUGGUGGGGUAGUGGCUUACCAAGGCUUUGACGGGUAGCCGGCCUGAGAGGGUGACCGGCCGCAGUGGGACUGAGAGCACGACGGGAGGCCGACGGGAGGAAGCAGUGCGGGUGAGGGCAGAAGGGGUGGGAGUUGGACGCAGCAACGGCGGGUGAGGGAGGGUGGCCGACGGGGUGUAAAAAGGUUGCGCCGGUGAAGAAGCGUGAGGGACGGUAAUGAGUAAAGAAGCACCGGCUAACUUGGUG
rnacentral:rRNA from 1 species